CAUGAACUCUCUUUGCAGGGUGAAGCUGUAUUGUCCAUUGUGACAGUCACAGCCACACGUGGUUCCUAAGAGCCUGAAUUGUGGCUGCAGUCCUGUGUUGCUUAAUGUCAGGCCUACAUUCUAAGAGAUGCAGCCCCAGGCGACUUCACUGCUGUGCAAACACCACACAGAACGUCCUUCGGCAAACCUAGAAGGGAGUCCAAGGACUGUAUGAAAAGCAGAAAGGGUGAAAUCCUCAGGAAGGUCAGCCUUUAAUGAGCAAGUACGGGAGCAACCCGAUGAAGACAAGGUAGGAAGAUAAACGAGAGUCUAUUUGUCACAGACAUAUCAUAUGUUGCAGAAAUAUCAAGUACCAUAAAAACUGAACUGUAACCUUCUCAAAUGGCAUUAAAGAAUCACUGGGG
rnacentral:lncRNA from 1 species